AAAGAUAGGUGAGAAUCCUAUCCACCGAAUGAGUAAGGUUUCCCCCGGAAGGCUCGUCCGCGGGGGGUUAGUCGGGACCUAAGGCGAGGCUGAAAAGCGUAGUCGAUGGACAACAGGUUGAUAUUCCUGUACCGAUAUUUAAUUGCCGAAGGAAGGACGCAGAAGGAUAACACAGGCCACUAUUGGAUGUGGUUUUAAACAGUUAGUCUUCAUAAGAGUCAAAUGCUUUUAUGUUUAAGGAUAAGCUGUGAAUGUACCAAGUUUACUUGGGAAUUGUGUGAUUUCACGCUGCUGAAAAAAGUUUCGUAGGAAGAAAAUAUUGCCCGUACCGCAAACCGACACAGGUACUCGAGUGGAGAACACUAAGGUGAGCGAGUGAACUAUUGUUAAGGAACUCUGCAAAAUGAGUCCGUAACUUCGGAAGAAGGACUGCUGGUUUUAUACCAGCCGCAGCAAAUAGGCCCAAACAACUGUUUAUCAAAAACACAGGUUUCUGCAAAAUCGUAAGAUGAAGUAUAGGGGCUGACGCCUGCCCAGUGCUGGAAGGUUAAAAGGAGGACUUAGCUUCGGCGAAGGUCUUAAUUGAAGCCCCAGUGAACGGCGGCCGUAACUAUAACGGUCCUAAGGUAGCGAAAUUCCUUGUCGGGUAAGUUCCGACCCGCAUGAAAGGCGUAAUGAUUUGGGCGCUGUCUCAACAAUAGACUCGGUGAAAUUUAAAUUCCAGUGAAGAUGCUGGGUACCCGCGACAGGACGGAAAGACCCCGUGGAGCUUUACUGUAGCUUGAUAUUGAAUGUUUGUGCUGCAUGUGCAGGAUAGGUAGGAGACUUUGAAGUCGGAACGCUAGUUUCGAUUGAGUCACCCUUGAGAUACUACCCCUGUUGUAUGAACGUUCUAACUCUGAUCAGUUAUCCUGAUCGAAGACAGUGUCUGGCAGGCAGUUUGACUGGGGCGGUCGCCUCCUAAAAGAUAACGGAGGCGCUCRAAGGUUUGCUCAGAAUGGUUGGAGAUCAUUCGUAGCGUGUAAAGGCAUAAGCAAGCUUGACUGUGAGACUGACAAGUCGAGCAGGUACGAAAGUAGGACUUAGUGAUCCGGUGGUUC
rnacentral:rRNA from 1 species